UAGAACAGGUCAUCCUCAUUUGACUACAGAAAGUAGCUACAUGAGAAGACACUCCAUUUAAAUACACAUAUGAUGUAGCUAUAUAAAAUAGGUCAUCUUCAUUUGACUACAGAAAGUAGCUACAUGAGGAGACACUCCAUUUAAAUGCACAUAUGAUGUAGCUAUAUAAAAUAGGUCAUCCUCAUUUGACUACAGAAAGUAGCUACAUGAGAAGACACUCAAUAUAGAUACACAUAUGAUAUAGAUACAUAUUAAGGCACAUCAAUUUAUAGGAUUUAGCUAUAUAAAAUAGGU